rnacentral:lncRNA from 1 species
GAAUUCUGGGGGCCGUGGGGCCGCCCAGCUCAGUCCGGAGCUCCGGAACUCGGGGAAGAGCGUCCGGGAGCCGGGUCUGGGUUCCGCACUCCGUCCGCCCCGAUGGCAGAGAGUGAGAUACGGACGCCCCGGGACGAGGGGCUCAGGACCCGGCUACGGACACCUGCCUCCAUCUCCCUCCAGUUUCUUCCUCAGAUUGACAUUCCUCUUGGUCACCAGAUGCCUACAAUCAGCGGGUGCAACUCUCUGCUCCCUGCUCACUUCUGAAGGGGAGAGCAUGGAUACCAACCACAGAACAAAGCCCUGCAGUCUCCCGCUGAGUAGAACACCCACGAAGAAGUGUUGGCCAUUUCCCUAUUGCCAGGGAAAUAUCAUGUAUUGGUUGGAUUAGGCCUGUAUUAAUCCAGUUAAUGGAACAUAGUUAAACUAUCCCAGACCCUCCAUAGACACUAGAGAAAAGGUGAAUCCAACCCAAAUGUAAGACUGCUACUCAAUAGGACAGAAAAGGCAUGGAUGUCAGUGAAAUGGGAAAAAAAA